rnacentral:misc_RNA from 1 species
UCCGAGUUGACCCCGGCAGUCUCCUGCGAGUCCCCGCCAUUACGCGCUGGUAACACAGGACAAGGGUUGCGCUCGUUGCGGGACUUAACCCAACAUCUCACGACACGAGCUGACGACAGCCAUGCAGCACCUGUCUCACGGUUCCCGAAGGCACCAAUCCAUCUCUGGAAACCGUCCUACCAUGUCAAACGCUGGUAAGGUUCUGCGCGUUGCUUCGAAUUAAACCACAUGCUCCGUCGCUUGUGCAGGCCCCCGUCAAUUUCUUUGAGUUUUAACCUUGCGGCCGUACUCCCCAGGCGGAUGACUUAACGCGUUAGCUGCGCCACCGGAACGCUAAGCGCCCCGACAGCUAGUCAUCAUCGUUUACGGCGUGGACUAC